CGUGGCUCUUCUUCAGAAGGAUGUUCAGGAUCUGGCAGUGCUCCUCAGAGCCAGGAAGAUCUGGUUUCAAGAUUAUGCUGCAUAACCAGGAAAUUAGAAGUUAGAACUACUUUAAAGGUAAAGCAGACGAGUCAACCGGUCUCAUUGAUGGAGGUAGGUUGAGAAUGAAACGUGUGAGAGCAAAACUAAACGUUCAAGGACAGGUCAAAAGUAUUAGGAGUCUAUAAUUAAAGGUAAACAAAGGUGUUUAUGGGAGAAUGGGACAGAGACGCCCUAACAGCGUUUAAAUGCUAAUACUACGCCUCCCUCUACAGUCUGGGCACACCAUGUGCUUGCGUUUGCUGAUGAGUGAGUGGCUGCUGUUUCCCGACUGAUUUGAUGUGGCAGCAUGAAUGUAAAUGAAAAUGAAGUUCAAUCAAUACAUAUUUUUUAUUUAUUUAUAUAUUUCUUUUGCAUUAUUUUGUUUCACGUGAAGCAGUAUCAAUGGCUUUCCUGAAUUUAGAUGUCACGUAUUUAUGAACAAGCAAAAACGUGCCAGCAAAAUAAAAUAUUUGAUCGUUAAGCAUUAUAAAUCCUGCUAAGCUUUAAGUGUCUUUUAAUCUGUUUACUGUGGUAGGAUAAACUGUAUUUAACUCUGUACUGUUGGAAAUAACAAGUUAAACAUUACACAUGUUAGUAGAGAGCACAGGAUUCUGUAUGAGAUCAGUCAGAAAGAAAGAAACGAGCACUUCUAUUCAAUAAGAAUGCAUUAAAACUUAUACCAAGUGAUAGUAAAUUGUUAUAAAAAUGUUCUCUUAUUUUAUCAAAGUAAAUGAUCACGUUUUCCAUAGAACUAUUAAGCAGGCCAGCCUUUUAUAAUUGUGAUAAUGACAAAUUAGAAUGACUUCUGAAUGAUCAUGUGACGCUGAAAAAAAAAAUAAGAGUAAUAUAUUAAAUUGAAAUAUACUAACAUAUAAAACAGUUUUGAAAUGGUAAUAAUAGUU